UCUUCCCCGCCGCAACCUAAUUUUCUAUUAGGUGAAUCAAGAGUAGUUCUGAUACAUCAAUUAUCGAAGAAACUUACACAAAUAUUUCCAUUCAAGUUACAUGGACUUGCUGUUAGAUCAACUUUCUAUCCAUCUCGUCCCAUUUUCUUUAUUUGUACAAAGCAAGAGUGUUCAUGUGUAUGAUGAGCUCUUCUUUAUUAAAAUAAAAAAUGUGUAUAGUAUAUAUAUUUUACAACUAUAAAAACAUUUUACUUUUUACA